CUCCAUUCCAAACUAGAAGCAUGACACGUAUUCCUUUUUGAAAUUUUUUUUAUUAGAUGACACGUAAAUUUUUUGGAUAACUUUUGAAAUUUGCAUUUCCUAUUUUAUCCUUACUUAAAACAAAAUUAAAUCCUAAACUUCUUCUUUUAACAUCUAACCAUACAUGAUAUUAUAUCUAAAUUACUCCCUCCAUAAUUUAUCACAUCCCACCCACCCCACAUAAUUUUCUAGAGAAAUCUACUGACCCUCAUCUACUCUCACUCUUCUAGAAAAGUGUACCCUUGUUCCUCAUCUAGGAAAUUAAAUCAUUUUCUCUCUCCUCAACUUUCAAUUAAAAACCCUAGAACUACUUGUAUUAUUGCUCUGUUCAACCUUCUUUCAUCAUCAGAGUGAGAAAUUUAAACUACUUCAUUUAACAGUUAUGGGUUUGUUCUUAGUUCAAAGAAUUGUAAGGAGUUUUGUUCGAAGUUUUUUCAGUUUUCGAAAGUAAUUUGGUCGACUCAACAAUUUAGUUUGUUCGAAUUACUUUCAACUUUUGGGAGUAAUUUGUUCAAUUUAUUUGGGAAUUUCGGGAGUAAUUUGACAUGGAUAAACGAAAGCUCCCUGAUUUCUCCAAUCCCAUAGAGGAUCUAAUUUCCCAUAAACUUUCCUGGGAAGAUGAUUCAUUUUUUAACAAAGUUGUUAUCGACCCCUGGUUGUGUUGGGGUUUUUGGAAGGGUUACACCCAAAAUCCAACAGAGUCGUGGUAGUUUAUGUGCUGCAGUUGGCUUUAUGGAGUUAGUGUGUGACCCGAUGAUCCCCUUCUUUAGCAACCUAUAAACUCUUGAUGGGCUAAAUCCUCUGCUACCCCGAGUCAACUACAGGUCUAAUGUCCCAAACGGGAUGGUUGUCGAUGCCGUCUUCCAGGUUUUUGUUCUAUCUAGUUUAGUAUUCAAUUAAACCUACCAAUUACGUAACAAUCAUACAGUAACCUUGAGUCAUUGUUGCAAGCAGUGGCGUCACCAGGAUUUUCGAACUGUGGGUUCGAAACUUCCGAAAUUUGAAAUCAUAAUUAACAAAGGAAUAAAAAUACAAUAAUGAAAACUAGUCUGCUGCACACAGCACACACAUGAUAAAUGCAGAAGGAAAUCAAUGAAUGAACGAAAUAGCAUAUGAAAUUAUGAAAACUAGAAGGCAGAAUAGCCGGGCUAAUGCUGUGACUUCUCCUGGCUCUUAUAGAAGUGUACUUAUACCUCUAAAGCUCUACCUUAUGUAGAGGAGUUGUAUUAUCACGUUUAAUUCUUAGUCGGUACAAGACUAAUUAUAAUCAUCUAAAUAAAAUCAUACCAAUCCAAGCAAUAACAUCAACCACUCUAGCUAAUUAGAAGGUAGAAAUUAGAUUGUUUAUUAUUCUUGAUCAACAAAUAGUUAGAAUGUUUACGAUAAGAUAUUGAGCAAGGUGAGGCCAUAUGUUGAAACUUUUCAAGAGAAUGUUUUUAUGUUACGAGGUAAUUAACAAAGUCUAGCCCAUUCAACAUUCUUACAACUUUUCAGAGGUAAUUAACAAAGUCAAGCCAAUUUAACACUCUUACAAUUUUUCAAGAGAAUAUUUAUACUUGAAAUAUAAGAUAAUUAUAACCAAAUUUCAGCAAUUUACAAAAAAUUCUGCAAUUUGUAAUGUAUAUUAGCAAUUUAGCAUAUGAAUUUCAAGUAUUAGCAUAAUAGCAUAUGUAUAUGUAUAUUAGCAAUUUAGCAUAUGAAUUUCAAUUUUCAAGUAUUAGCAUAUGUAUAUGUAUAUUACUAUAUUAGCAAUUUAGCAUAUGUAUAUUAGCAAAAAAUCCCCAAAUUCACUUACCCCUACAUACGGUGGGUCUGCUCCGCCACGGCGCCACUCAGGGGCGGAGCUACGGUGGUCAGCUGAGUGGCUGACUAGUGACUACUGGCCUACUGCCGACCUGCCGUGCUGCGGUGCUGGCUGAGUGCCUGAGUGGCUUCUGCGGACUUCUGCGGUGCUGCGCCCGUGCGCCGGGAAGAGAAGGAGGCAAGGAGGAAGAACGGGAAGAGAAGGAGCCAAGGAGGAAGAACGGGAAGAGAUUAAGAGAAGGAGGAAGAAGUUAGGGUUUUGCAAUUUGGGGGAAUGAGGAAGAGGAAAGCUGGAAAGCUGAGAGGCUAUGCCACCACCAGGAACCAGGUUACCCCCACUCUAGCAAGUUCAACUAAACAAUUAUCCCUUCAUCUCAGACGAGGAGCCAGUUGAAAACAGUUACUACGCGAACUCUGGAUGGGCGUUUGACGGAUCAGUCUAUCAUUGGGGUAUGGGAAAGGACCUUUGAUCAAUCAUCCCUGGAGCUUCCAAACAACAAUUACCCUAUUUUGUGUGUUGUAUUUCAUCCUUUAUGGAUUUUGGAUUUGGUUAUCUCAAACUCUACUUUGAUUAUGCUUAGCAAUUUAAUCAUUUAUGCCCAAAUUAUAAGUAUUAUUAGAUUCAAGUAGAUGUUUGUAUUAUUAAACUUGUCGGUCUAAUUAUGUGACUUGCCACUAAAUUUUUUUCAGA